rnacentral:rRNA from 1 species
GACGAACGCUGGCGGCGUGCUUAACACAUGCAAGUCGAACGGUGAACCUCUUCGGAGGGGAUCAGUGGCGAACGGGUGAGUAACACGUGGGCAACCUGCCCCCGGCUCUGGGAUAACUCCAAGAAAUUGGGGCUAAUACCGGAUGUUCACCGCUUCCCGCAUGGGUGGUGGUGGAAAGGGUUUCCGGCUGGGGAUGGGCCCGCGGCUUAUCAGCUUGUUGGUGGGGUAGUGGCCUACCAAGGCGACGACGGGUAGCGGGCCUGAGAGGGUGACCGGCCACAUUGGGACUGAGAUACGGCCCAGACUCAUACGGGAGGCAGCAGGGGGGAAUAUGGCACAAUGGGCGGAAGCCUGACGCAGCAACGCCGGGUGGGGGAGGACGGCCUUCGGGUUGUAAACCGUUUUCGGCAGGGAAGAAGCGUGAGUGACGGUACUGGGAAAAGAAGCACCGGCUAACUACGUG